GUGCUCGCUUCGGCAGCACAUAUACUAAAAUUGAAACAAUACAGAGAAGAUUAGCAUGGCCCCUGCUAAAUUUUUUAGAAAAUAUUUAAAAAUAAAU
rnacentral:snRNA from 1 species